GUGGGGAAUAUUGGACAAUGGGGGGAACCCUGAUCCAGCCAUGCCGCGUGUGUGAAGAAGGCCUUUUGGUUGUAAAGCACUUUAAGCGAGGAGGAGGCUACCUAGAUUAAUACUCUUGGAUAGUGGACGUUACUCGCAGAAUAAGCACCGGCUAACUCUGUGCCAGCAGCCGCGGUAAUACAGAGGGUGCAAGCGUUAAUCGGAUUUACUGGGCGUAAAGCGCGCGUAGGUGGCCAAUUAAGUCAAAUGUGAAAUCCCCGAGCUUAACUUGGGAAUUGCAUUCGAUACUGGUUGGCUAGAGUAUGGGAGAGGAUGGUAGAAUUCCAGGUGUAGCGGUGAAAUGCGUAGAGAUCUGGAGGAAUACCGAUGGCGAAGGCAGCCAUCUGGCCUAAUACUGACACUGAGGUGCGAAAGCAUGGGGAGCAAACAGGAUUAGAAACCCUAGUAGUCC
rnacentral:rRNA from 1 species